AACGAACGCUGGCGGCAUGCCUAACACAUGCAAGUCGAACGAGACCUUCGGGUCUAGUGGCGCACGGGUGCGUAACGCGUGGGAACCUGCCCUUAGGUUCGGAAUAACUCCCCGAAAGGGGUGCUAAUACCAGAUAAUGUCUUCGGACCAAAGAUUUAUCGCCUUUGGAUGGGCCCGCGUUGGAUUAGCUAGUUGGUAGGGUAAAAGCCUACCAAGGCGACGAUCCAUAGCUGGUCUGAGAGGAUGAUCAGCCACACUGGGACUGAGACACGGCCCAGACUCCUACGGGAGGCAGCAGUGGGGAAUAUUGGACAAUGGGCGAAAGCCUGAUUCAGCAAUGCCGCGUGAGUGAUGAAGGCCUUAGGGUUGUAAAGCUCUUUUACCCGGGAUGAUAAUGACAGUACCGGGAGAAUAAGCUCCGGCUAACUCCGUG
rnacentral:rRNA from 1 species